rnacentral:lncRNA from 1 species
AAAGAGAGGGGAAGUUAGCUAGAGUCCAAGGAGUAAGUUCAUUGGCUUGAGGACGGGAAGAGGUUCUUGGCAAACGUUCAUUGGUUGAGGGCUAAGUUCCGGUUCUUGGUAAGUGAGUCAUUUACGGAAACAGUUUCUGAGUCUUUAAGUUUCUUUUCCUGAGGGCGCAUGCGUGAGAUUCUUGGUUUCACAUCCUCCGGUUCCAUUUUAUACUGAAAUAUUUUCACAGCAUGGCGGGGUAAUACGAUGACCGCUUUAAUGAGGUUAAAAUUAAUCAGUGGUGUGGCAGCCCAAAUAACACCCCUACUCUGCAAAGAUGUCUGCACCCUAAUCCCGAAACCUGUAAAUUUGUCAUGCUACUUGGCAAAAGGGACUCUGUAGAUGUAAUUAAGGUUGCAGACCUUCAGAUAGGGAGAGGAGCCAGGAUUGUCUGGGUGGGUUCAAGCUAGUCAUACGAGACCUUACAAGCAGAGUAUCUUUCCCAGCAGAAGUGAGAAGCGGCAGGAAAGAAAUACAGUAGGAGGCAGGCGGGAAGUCAGAGAGACUGUGAGCAUGAGAAAGGUUUGAUGUGCUGAUGCUGCUAUGAGAUGGGGCCGGAUCGAGGCCUCUAGGAGCUAAGGGCGGUACCCAGCUGACUGCCAGGAAAGAAAUUGCACCUCAGUCCUUCCACUCCAAGAAACUUUAUUCGGCCACCAAGCGGAAUGAAUUUGGAAGCGGGUUCUUCCCAGAGCCUCCCAAUUAUAGUCCGGGCGAGUUGACACCUUGCUUCUGGCCUUCUACCAUCUGCAGCAGAGAAACCAAUCAGACUAGCCCUGACUUUUCACCUACAGAAUGGUGAGCCCUGCUGCAAAUUAUUGCAAACUGCCCCAUCUUACCUCUACUGGUUAAGUGCCACCAUGGGAUCUCACCAUCUUCAUUGUAACAAAAGAGUCCAUUCAAUGGCAGUGCCUCCUGCCUUUAUCCAAGGUCCAUCCACUUUUCAAAGAAGAUGGUGCUCUGCUCGCCAAUGUAUUUCUCAAUCUUGUGGUGAAGAGGAUGUUCUUUUGGAAUUCUGGGGAGUUGACACCAUGACUAUCAGGUUAGCAGGUAUAUGCAACAUACUGAAUCCACUCUUCCAGAACCAGAUGACUCACCCGUCAUUAUUAUAGUUUAUUAUCCCCCUACCAUUGUGAUAAGCAAACCCAGAAGCCAUGAAUUGAAUGAUGGCAUCAAAAAAAUGGAAAGAGCUUGAAUCUCUGAAUGAUGUUAUGAAGCAGAAUCCUGCUCCGACCUCAUUGGAUAAUGAAUGAUUGAAUAAUAAACUUUUAUGUGUUAAGCC